rnacentral:rRNA from 1 species
UAGGGAGUCUUCCGCAAUGGGCGAAAGCCUGACGGAGCAACGCCGCGUGAGUGAUGAAGGUCUUCGGAUCGUAAAACUCUGUUAUUAGGGAAGAACAAAUGUGUAAGUAACUAUGCACGUCUUGACGGCACCUAAUCAGAAAGCCACGGCUAACUACGUGCCAGCAGCCGCGGUAAUACGUAGGUGGCAAGCGUUAUCCGGAAUUAUUGGGCGUAAAGCGCGCGUAGGCGGUUUUUUAAGUCUGAUGUGAAAGCCCCCGGCUCAACCGGGGAGGGUCAUUGGAAACUGGUUGACUUGAGUGCAGAAGAGGAGAGUGGAAUUCCAUGUGUAGCGGUGAAAUGCGUAGAUAUAUGGAGGAACACCAGUGGCGAAGGCGACUCUCUGGUCUGUAACUGACGCUGAGGCUCGAAAGCGUGGGUAGCAAACAGG